rnacentral:rRNA from 1 species
UACAGAGGUCUCAAGCGUUGUUCGGAUUCAUUGGGCGUAAAGAGCUCGUAGGCGGCUUGGCAAGUCGGGUGUGAAAACUUCAGGCUCAACCUGGAGCGGCCACUCGAUACUGCCAUGGCUAGAGUCCGGUAGGGGACCACGGAAUUCCUGGUGUAGCGGUGAAAUGCGCAGAUAUCAGGAGGAACACCGGUGGCGAAGGCGGUGGUCUGGGCCGGAACUGACGCUGAGGAGCGAAAGCGUGGGGAGCAAACAGG